ACUCCAUGAAGCUGGAUUCGCUAGUAAUCGCGCAUCAGCCACGGCGCGGUGAAUACGUUCCCGGGCCUUGUACACACCGCCCGUCAAGCCAUGGAAGCCGGGAGUGCCUGAAGUGCGUGAGCGCAAGCAGCGCCCUAAGGUAAAACCGGUGACUGGGGCUAAGUCGUAACAAGGUAUC
rnacentral:rRNA from 1 species